CGGGACGUAGCGCAGCCCGGUACGCAUCCCGCCAUCGGCGGGAGGGUCGCUGGUUCGAACUUCUUUCAGCGAAGCUAAUCCAGUCGUCCCGA
rnacentral:tRNA from 1 species